AGACGGUUAUCUGCGCAUGCGCAGGUGUUUGUGCCGCGACGCGAGGGGCGCUAUAAUCGACUAAUUAAAAUUAACGUAAACUGCCCGUGUUUACUGCUAGUUCUCAUUAUCACCUUAUCAACUGUCAUCGCGGAGCAGCAGUUUGAAGGUAUACUGACAGACCAUCAGGCUCAGCGUGCAGAACACCGAAUUUCAUCAGAAGCACAAUUGUUCAUCUGUGUAGCCGAAAUAUAUGAAAGGCAUGUGUUAGUGUUCACUCCUCCUUUAAUGAGUUCGACUUCAGGACAUCAGCCCACCCCACGAUUUCUACAGUUUUUUUUCCUACUUUGCUGUCUCAGACUCCAGCAAACUCCUAGUGUUGAUGUGGCAGUACUUUAGCAACAGUGGAGGAAGAAAAGAAAGGUGUUUCCAAGAAGAAGGCUCAGCUUUAAUGGCAUAUCCAGAAAGCCAUAGCGAUCAGACUCCAAAUCGACAAGAGAGAUUCCAGCUUUCCACCUCUUUGACAAAAUAAGGGAAAUUGAGACAGAAUUCAUUAAUCUCUUGAGAAGUGACAGCUAUUAAAACGGUUUAAGAGUUCUUGACAGAUGAAAACACCCCCCGACCAUAACAUGUAUCACUCUAAAAUAACAGAUGUGCCUAUGCGCUGGAUUUAAGGAGUAGCAGGUUUGCCAAGCCUAGAAAAG